AUAGUAGCUCAGUUGGUAGAGCAUCAGCUUCCCAAGCUGAGGGUCGCGAGUUCGAGUCUCGUCUAU
rnacentral:tRNA from 1 species